rnacentral:rRNA from 1 species
CCUACGGGUGGCAGCAGUGGGGAAUAUUGCGCAAUGGGCGAAAGCCUGACGCAGCGACGCCGCGUGAGGGAUGAAGGUCUUCGGAUCGUAAACCUCUGUCAGCAGGGAAGAACGGUCACUGUGCUAAUCAGCAGUGAAUUGACGGUACCUGCAAAGGAAGCACCGGCUAACUCCGUGCCAGCAGCCGCGGUAAUACGGAGGGUGCGAGCGUUAAUCGGAAUUACUGGGCGUAAAGGGCUCGUAGGCGGUAUGUCAAGUCAAGGGUGAAAUCCCCGGGCUCAACGUGGGAACUGCCUUUGAAACUGGCGAACUUGAGUGUGCGAGAGGAUAGUGGAAUUCGAGGUGUAGGAGUGAAAUCCGUAGAUAUCUGGAGGUACAUCAGUGGCGAAGGCGACUAUCUGGCACAUAACUGACGCUGAGGAGCGAAAGCGUGGGUAGCAAACAGGAUUAGAUACCCGAGUAGUC